GCCCCGGUAGCUCAACGGAUAGAGCAACUGCCUUCUAAGCAGUAGGUUAGAGGUUCGAGUCCUCUCCGGGGUG
rnacentral:tRNA from 1 species